rnacentral:pre_miRNA from 1 species
AAAUCAUAAGUUUUCGUACCUAGGUAUCCAAUAUUUUUUGUUACGUUAACAAAUCACAAAAUAUUGGAUACCUAGGUACGAAAACUUAUGAUU